rnacentral:rRNA from 1 species
CCGCGGUAAUACGUAGGGUGCAAGCGUUAAUCGGAAUUACUGGGCGUAAAGCGUGCGCAGGCGGUUUGUUAAGACAGAUGUGAAAUCCCCGGGCUCAACCUGGGAACUGCAUUUGUGACUGGCAAGCUAGAGUAUGGCAGAGGGGGGUGGAAUUCCGCGUGUAGCAGUGAAAUGCGUAGAUAUGCGGAGGAACACCGAUGGCGAAGGCAGCCCCCUGGGCCAAUACUGACGCUCAUGCACGAAAGCGUGGGGAGCAAACAGGAUUAGAUACCCUGGUAGUCCACGCCCUAAACGAUGUCAACUAGUUGUUGGGGAUUCAUUUCCUUAGUAACGUAGCUAACGCGUGAAGUUGACCGCCUGGGGAGUACGGUCGCAAGAUUAAAACUCAAAG